rnacentral:sRNA from 1 species
UUAUUGCGAUAAGGAUUGAAACGGUAUCCUUUUUUGAGGCACGAAAAAAAGAUUUAGUGUAAAGCCUGGUUGCUU